rnacentral:rRNA from 1 species
UCCGCCAGGAGCAUCGCUGGGUAGCUAUGUGUGGCAGGGAUAAACGCUGAAAGCAUCUAAGCGUGAAGCCCCCCUCAAGAUGAGAUUUCCCAUUUCUUCGGAAAGUAAGAUCCCUGAAAGAUGAUCAGGUAGAUAGGUUUGGAGUGGAAGUGUAGCGAUACAUGGAGCGGACAAAUACUAAUCGAUCGAGGACUUAACCAAAA